ensembl:lncRNA
UUAACUCAGCCCCUUGAAAUUGGCAAUACUCUGCCAGGGAUUAUAUUGCAAUUCCAAUUAUGUUUCACUUGCAUUCACCGUUUUAAAUUACAUAUCUAUGAACAUUAAUUGCUGCAGGAUGGUUUUAAGUGCAGGAAAUUAGAGGACUUUUGCUCCUGACUUCUUAGAACUUUCUUUUCCACCCCCCCACCAAAAAAAAAAAAAAAAAAACCACCAAAAAAACCACCAAAAAAACCACCAAAAAAACCACUGGUUAUCCAAAAGCAGUGCAUGAGAGAGAGGCAGCAUUAUUAUAGAAUGGAUCUGACUUUCUACUUAUGUCUUGUAGGUUAUUUCAACAGCAGUAGACUGUAGUUUUCUUACCGGAGUUAGCAUCAGCCAUGAUGUGCAAUAGAGUAAAAGGGAAGAUUAGUGAUGAAUGCAAAGCAAUGUAGGAAGCUCUGAGAGCAAAGGUGAAGUAGAUUAAAAAUGUGGUCAAGGUGUAAAAUUUAGCAAAUGCAAGGCUGUAGAUCUGAUCUUCAUAAGCAUAACAGCUUAUGUUUGCAUCAGCUCAUCUCAGCAGAAUUUACUUCAGCAAACACUUGUCAGGCUGUCUCAUGUGGUCCUGAGAGUUCAGCAGUGUCUCUAGGAGCAAGGUGCUGUUUCUGUGCUACAGAUGUUUUUGAAGAGUAUUUCAAAGUGGGCAGAGUUAAGGCACAGUACAAACUACUUUUUGGUGGUUGCAGCUUCUGUUAUUUUAAGUAUGUCUCCCAGAUUUUCAGAAGUUUUGUUUAGCAGAGGUAGGCAUUCUAAAUGGACCAUGUCUGUAUUAACCUUUUGGGACAUUGGAAUAUUUUUGUUUUUUGUUUGUUUCAGAAAAACCUCAAACAGCUGUCCACUGUGCACCACAACUCAACUUUCCUUUCACUGCUUUGAAUGCUUUUGCAGCAAUUACCUUAGCACAGUAGCUGCACAGCUCAGCACCAUUCUGAGAGACUGGACUAGUUCAUAAUACCUGGAAGUAGUUCAGCCAGGUUGCUAUAAUAAUCCACCAAGACUAAUGAGCCCUGCUGAGGAUACGUGCAGCACUGCCCUCCAACAUGGGCUGGUUCUUCCCCAUCACUCGCCAGAGUCCCAAAAGAGGAUCAAGCUUCAGCGAAAAACCUGUAGAUGGAAGUUGCAGAAACAGUGUGGGACUGACCAUGGAGGCAGCAAAAAAGGAGGCAGGGAGCUCAACACAGCAGUGAACAAGAAGGAAACUGGCAGGGUUAAGUGUGGAACAUUUCCUUCAGGUCAUAGCCCUUCAACUAAAUUCUUGUCUUAACUUUGGCAAAAUGCUCCAGGUUAGAGCCAGAAAAGGGCUUGGCUGGGCCGUGGUUUCUCAGGCAGAAUUAACAUGCACAUGUUCCAUGUAAAACAUGAUCUGUAUAUCCAGUGUGCCCUGGAUCUCAUGGAUUCAUUAUAAAAGCUGCUGAAGAUGCAUAUGCUACUAUGUAAAGCACAUGUCCAAGAUUUUCAGGUGUAUUGUAGCUGCUUCUGCAACACAUUGCAUCUUCCUAAAUCUUCAACAAGAUUCUGCCUCAGGAAAGUUUUCAGGCUGAAUAUGAGAACAUGUCCUAAAAAACCCUUAGAUUUAAAAUGAUCCAAGACUUCAGGUCUAACUUUUCAGUUGCCUGUAUCUAGAAAAAUCAUUAGCCUCAGUUAGGAGCUGAAGCUUCAUAAAGA